UAUGACCAUUCAGCUUCAAUUCACUCAACCCCUACUCCUUAUUUUAGGUGGCGAUUUUCGGCAGCCUUCUCCGCCGCACCGAAAAUCGCUUCUAGCGGCGGCUGGUGUCCAAACAACACUAAACCACCAUGAUAUUAUUCGUCUUCCAUCCUUCCAUCAACAUCUGACUUUUGUUUCCAUGAUUCUUCACAAAAAUAUUCUCAAUAUACCUCUCAACAAAAACCCUAAAAAAUGGAAAACGCAAUUAAAUGACGGUGAUGCGCCAACUCGAACCACAAGCAUGGGGAGAAAACUCAGGGAGUCGAUGGAUACGUGGUGGUAUCAAUAA